UACGUAGGUGGCAAGCGUUGCUCGGAAUCACUGGGCGUAAAGCGCACGUAGGCGGGUCGUUAAGUCGGGGGUGAAAUCCUGGAGCUCAACUCCAGAACUGCCUUCGAUACUGGCGACCUUGAGUCCGGGAGAGGUGAGUGGAACUCCGAGUGUAGAGGUGAAAUUCGUAGAUAUUCGGAAGAACACCAGUGGCGAAGGCGGCUCACUGGCCCGGUACUGACGCUGAGGUGCGAAAGCGUGGGGAGCAAACAGG
rnacentral:rRNA from 1 species